UACGAAGGGGGCUAGCGUUGCUCGGAAUCACUGGGCGUAAAGCGCACGUAGGCGGAUUGCUAAGUCAGGGGUGAAAUCCUGGAGCUCAACUCCAGAACUGCCUUUGAUACUGGGAAGCUUGAGUCCGGAAGAGGUGAGUGGAACUGCGAGUGUAGAGGUGAAAUUCGUGGAUAUUCGCAAGAACACCAGUGGCGAAGGCGGCUCACUGGUCCGGUACUGACGCUGAGGUGCGAAAGCGUGGGGAGCGAACAGG
rnacentral:rRNA from 1 species